CCCUUAGAUGUUCUGGGCCGCACGCGCGCUACACUGAUGCAUUCAACGAGCACUCGCUUGGCCGAGAGGUCAGGCUAAUCUUUGAACGUGCAUCGUGCUGGGGAUAGAUGAUUGCAAUUAUUCAUCUUCAACGAGGAAUUCCUAGUAAACGCAAGUCAUCAGCUUGCAUUGAUUACGUCCCUGCCCUUUGUACACACCGCCCGUCACACCUACCGAUUGAAUGGUCCGGUGAAAUUCUCGGACGACGCCAGGGAAUGUUAAUUCGGCACCUGGUGUUGAAAGUUAAUUAAACCUUACCAUUUAGAGGAAGGUGAAGUCGUAACA
rnacentral:rRNA from 1 species